rnacentral:rRNA from 1 species
AACACAUGCAAGUCGAGCGAUUCUCUUCGGAGAAGAGCGGCGGACGGGUGAGUAACGCGUGGGUAACCUGCCCUGUACACACGGAUAACAUACCGAAAGGUAUGCUAAUACGAGAUAAUAUACUUUUAUCGCAUGGUAGAAGUAUCAAAGCUUUUGCGGUACAGGAUGGACCCGCGUCUGAUUAGCUAGUUGGUAAGGUAACGGCUUACCAAGGCGACGAUCAGUAGCCGACCUGAGAGGGUGAUCGGCCACAUUGGAACUGAGACACGGUCCAAACUCCUACGGGAGGCAGCAGUGGGGAAUAUUGCACAAUGGGCGAAAGCCUGAUGCAGCAACGCCGCGUGAGCGAUGAAGGCCUUCGGGUCGUAAAGCUCUGUCCUCAAGGAAGAUAAUGACGGUACUUGAGGAGGAAGCCCCGGCUAACUACGUGCCAGCAGCCGCGGUAAUACGUAGGGGGCUAGCGUUAUCCGGAAUUACUGGGCGUAAAGGGUGCGUAGGUGGUUUCUUAAGUCAGAGGUGAAAGGCUACGGCUCAACCGUAGUAAGCCUUUGAAACUGGGAAACUUGAGUGCAGGAGAGGAGAGUGGAAUUCCUAGUGUAGCGGUGGAAUGCGUAGAUAUUAGGAGGAACACCAGUUGCGAAGGCGG